rnacentral:tRNA from 1 species
AGCUUUAUAGUCAAAAUAUGAUUUUAAAUUGCAAAUUUAAAGUUGGUUCUUAAACCUAAGGCUU